UAUUUUCAUCCGUGAGCUGCUGACGUCGUCAGCGACCAUGCCCAAGCAGUCAUGAUCUGUGAGACUGCGACACGGUUAACCGUGUUGAUCAAACCUAAGAUCGCCGAGCUUCCGGUAGCGCGAUCGGUCAAUCGACAGCGAUUGAUGGAAGC
rfam:Pseudomonas taeanensis MS-3 contig_08, whole genome shotgun sequence.